UGCGCUCUUAGUCUACAUAUUUGGCUUUGGUAAGGUGAAAUUUGGGAUGGAAGGUGGGGUUCAAGCUACAUGAUUUAUAUAUGAUUUCAACAGAGUUUUGUUUUUUACAGAAUACAAUUAUUACAUAUGUUGGAUUUUUCUCUAAAGUGUACGUACCACAAAAUGCAGCGUGAUUGGUCCAUUAUUACCACUUUGUCGAACAAUAGUUUUUUUCCAUAACAUUUGGUUAAAAUGUUUAAUUGUAUAUAAACCCUCAAUCCCUUUGUUCCUGUGCAUCAAACUUGUCUGUUUACAAAUAUCUGU